UACGUAGGGUGCAAGCGUUGUCCGGAAUUAUUGGGCGUAAAGAGCUCGUAGGCGGUCUGUCGCGUCGGCUGUGAAAACCCGGAGCUCAACUCCGGGCCUGCAGUCGAUACGGGCAAACUGGAGUGUUGCAGGGGAGACUGGAAUUCCUGGUGUAGCGGUGGAAUGCGCAGAUAUCAGGAGGAACACCGGUGGCGAAGGCGGGUCUCUGGGCAGUAACUGACGCUGAGGAGCGAAAGCGUGGGGAGCGAACAGG
rnacentral:rRNA from 1 species